ACUCCUACGGGAGGCAGCAGUGAGGAAUAUUGGUCAAUGGACGCAAGUCUGAACCAGCCAUGCCGCGUGCAGGAUGACGGCUCUAUGAGUUGUAAACUGCUUUUGUACGAGGGUAAACGCAGAUACGUGUAUCUGUCUGAAAGUAUCGUACGAAUAAGGAUCGGCUAACUCCGUGCCAGCAGCCGCGGUAAUACGGAGGAUUCAAGCGUUAUCCGGAUUUAUUGGGUUUAAAGGGUGCGUAGGCGGUUUGAUAAGUUAGAGGUGAAAUUUCGGGGCUCAACCCUGAACGUGCCUCUAAUACUGUUGAGCUAGAGAGUAGUUGCGGUAGGCGGAAUGUAUGGUGUAGCGGUGAAAUGCUUAGAGAUCAUACAGAACACCGAUUGCGAAGGCAGCUUACCAAACUAUAUCUGACGUUGAGGCACGAAAGCGUGGGGAGCAAACAGGAUUAGAUACCCUGGUAGUCCACGCAGUAAACGAUGAUAACUCGUUGUCGGCGAUACACAGUCGGUGACUAAGCGAAAGCGAUAAGUUAUCCACCUGGGGAGUACGUUCGCAAGAAUGAAACUCAAAGGAAUUGACGGGGGCCCGCACAAGCGGAGGAACAUGUGGUUUAAUUCGAUGAUACGCGAGGAACCUUACCCGGGCUUGAAAGUUAGCGACGAUUCUUGAAAGAGGAUUUCCCUUCGGGGCGCGAAACUAGGUGCUGCAUGGUUGUCGUCAGCUCGUGCCGUGAGGUGUCGGGUUAAGUCCCAUAACGAGCGCAACCCCUACCGUUAGUUGCCAUCAGGUGAAGCUGGGCACUCUGGCGGGACUGCCGGUGUAAGCCGAGAGGAAGGUGGGGAUGACGUCAAAUCAGCACGGCCCUUACGUCCGGGGCUACACACGUGUUACAAUGGCAGGUACAGAGAGACGGUUGUACGUAAGUACGAUCAAAUCCUUAAAGCCUGUCUCAGUUCGGACUGGGGUCUGCAACCCGACCCCACGAAGCUGGAUUCGCUAGUAAUCGCGCAUCAGCCAUGGCGCGGUGAAUACGUUCCCGGGCCUUGUACACACCGCCCGUCAAGCCAUGGGAGCCGGGGGUACCUGAAGUGCGUAACCGCGAGGAGCGCCCUAGGGUAAAACUGGUGACUGGGGCUAAGUCGUAACAAGGUAGCCGUACCGGAAGGUGCGGCUG
rnacentral:rRNA from 1 species